GGAACGACUCUCGGCAACGGAUAUCUCGGCUCUCGCAUCGAUGAAGAACGUAGCGAAAUGCGAUACUUGGUGUGAAUUGCAGAAUCCCGUGAACCAUCGAGUCUUUGAACGCAAGUUGCGCCCGAAGCCUUCCUGGCCGAGGGCACGUCUGCCUGGGCGUCACGC
rnacentral:rRNA from 1 species